UUACCUGGGCUCAAAUGUAUGUUGACGUAUUCUGAAAGGGAUACUUCUUCGGACAAUAUACAAGGUGCUGCAUGGUUGUCGUCAGCUCGUGCCGUGAGGUGUCGGGUUAAGUCCCGCAACGAGCGCAACCCCUGCAUUCAGUUGCCAUCGGGUAAUGCCGGGCACUCUGGAAGGACUGCCAUCGACAAGAUGGAGGAAGGUGGGGAUGACGUCAAGUCAUCAUGGCCCUUAUGUCCAGGGCGACACACGUGCUACAAUGGCCGGCACAACGGGAAGCGAGUUCGCGAGGACGAGCGGAUCCCUCAAAGCCGGUCGCAGUUCGGAUUGAAGUCUGCAACUCGACUUCAUGAAGCUGGAAUCGCUAGUAAUCGUGGAUCAGCCAAGCCGCGGUGAAUACGUUCCCGGGCCUU
rnacentral:rRNA from 1 species